UGCCCGCCAGACACAUUCCUCUUCCCUUUUAGUUCCUAUGGGAAUACUCUCUUUGAAGAACCCAUGAAGCAGUGUCAGGCUGGUGUGAGAAUCAGCAGUGAUUUCUUUGAGGAGGAGAGCCGUUUCUUCACUCACAGGCCAUGUCUGAGUGGAUCAAGAAGAACAGAGUGCCCUUUUAUGAGAUUUUGUCUGUGUAGACCAUUAGCUUGGUAAAAAUGCCAAAACCAUCCUCGUUCUUUAAUAGCAGAUUAUUUUGGACUUUUCUCUGCAAGAAGCAGCAUGGG
rnacentral:lncRNA from 1 species